UACGAAGGUGGCAAGCGUUGUUCGGAUUUACUGGGCGUACAGGGAGCGUAGGCGGUUGGGUAAGCCCUCCGUGAAAUCUCCGGGCCUAACCCGGAAAGUGCGGAGGGACUGCUCGGCUAGAGGAUGGGAGAGGAGCGCGGAAUUCCCGGUGUAGCGGUGAAAUGCGUAGAGAUCGGGAGGAAGGCCGGUGGCGAAGGCGGCGCUCUGGAACGUUCUGACGCUGAGCUCGAAGCGUGGGAGCAACAGGA
rnacentral:rRNA from 1 species